GCAUAGAAAUGGCGGCAAAAGCGCUGCUGACCCUCGUUGCACUUGCUCUGGGGACAGGGCUAGGCGAGAAGCCCUGAAAGAGAGACAUUUAGGGAAACAAGUUAGGCCCUGACGAGGUCGCUGCAGCUUCAGGGGUCCUGGCUGGAGACAAAAAGUAAGUGAAGAAGGAAAUGGCCAUUGGACCGAGAGGUUGUCAUUUAUGGAGACACUUUCAACUGACAGCUGAGAAUCCUAACUGCAAAUUUAGGGUACAUUCAGCAGCGACAAAGGCAGAAUACCCCAUUUGGUGGUCAUUUCCCAACACAGAAGAAAAUGAUCCAUACCCAAAAGGCCCCGCUGACCUUUGCCGACGUGGCUGUGCACUUCACCUGGGAGGAGUGGGAGCUCCUGGCCCCCACGAAGAAGGCCCUGUACCAGGAGGUGAUGCUGGAGACCUACAGCCACCUGGUGUCCAUAUGGGUGAGGACGAGUCAUGGCCCGAGGACUGGCAGGGCCUUUCCUGCUUAGCUGCUCACACUUGGAAGCCACUGGGGUGCUCUGCAU